UACGAAGGGGACUAGCGUUGUUCGGAAUCACUGGGCGUAAAGCGCACGUAGGCGGAUAUGUCAGUCAGGGGUGAAAUCCCGGGGGCUUAACCUCGGAACUGCCUUUGAUACAGCAUAUCUUGAGUCCGAUAGAGGUGGGUGGAAUUCCUAGUGUAGAGGUGAAAUUCGUAGAUAUUAGGAAGAACACCGGUGGCGAAGGCGGCCCACUGGAUCGGUACUGACGCUGAGGUGCGAAAGCGUGGGGAGCAAACAGG
rnacentral:rRNA from 1 species